rnacentral:rRNA from 1 species
UAGCAAUACUGAGCGAAGCUAGUGGCGAACGGGUGCGUAACACAUGAGUCAUCUGCCCAGAAGUGGGGAAUAGCUCGGCGAAAGCCGGAUUAAUACCGCAUGUGGUCGUAAGACCAAAGCCGGGGCAACCUGGCGCUUUUGGAGGAGCUCGUGGCCUAUCAGCUAGUUGGUGAGGUAACGGCUUACCAAGGCAACGACGGGUAGCUGGUCUGAGAGGACGACCAGCCACACUGGAACUGAGAUACGGUCCAGACACCUACGGGUGGCAGCAGUCGAGAAUUUUUCUCAAUGGGGGAAACCCUGAAGGAGCGACGCCGCGUGGAGGAUGAAUGCUUUCGGGUUGUAAACUCCUGUCAUUUGGGAACAAGGCCUUACGUUAACUGCGUGGAGGAUUGAUAGUACCAGAAGAGGAAGGGACGGCUAACUCUGUGCCAGCAGCCGCGGUAAUACAGAGGUCUCAAGCGUUGUUCGGAUUCAUUGGGCGUAAAGGGCGCGUAGGCGGCGGGGUAAGUCUGGUGUGAAAUCUAGGAGCUCAACUCCUAAACUGCACUGGAUACUGCUCUGCUAGAGGACUGGAGAGGAGACUGGAAUUCUCGGUGUAGCA